rnacentral:rRNA from 1 species
GAUGAACGCUAGCGGCAGGCUUAAUACAUGCAAGUCGAGGGACAGCACAGGUAGCAAUACUGGGUGGUAACCGGCAAACGGGUGCGGAACACGUACACAACCUUCCUUUAAGUGGGGGAUAGCCCAGAGAAAUUUGGAUUAAUACCCCGUAAUAUAGUUGAAUGGCAUCAUUUGAUUAUUAUAGCUACGGCGCUUAAUGAUGGGUGUGCGGCUGAUUAGAUAGUUGGCGGGGUAACGGCUCACCAAGUCUACGAUCAGUAGCUGAUGUGAGAGCAUGAUCAGCCACACGGGCACUGAGACACGGGCCCGACUCCUACGGGAGGCAGCAGUAAGGAAUAUUGGUCAAUGGACGCAAGUCUGAACCAGCCUUGCCGCGUGAAGGAUUAAGGUCCUCUGGAUUGUAAACUUCUUUUAUUUGGGACGAAAAAGGGCCUUUCUAGGUCAACUGACGGUACCAGAUGAAUAAGCACCGGCUAACUCCGUGCCAGCCGCCGCCGUAAUAC